GGAAGUGUUAGCAACAUAUUUUCCGAAUUAUCCUUCAAAUCAUAUUAAUUGAAAAAAACUAUUCUAUUUAAAUGAUCGUGUGUGAAAUUAGUACAUAGAUAUAAAAAUUCUAUAAUUCCGAGCAAAGUUCCAGUUUUCUUUUAAAAAAUAAGUUCUAAUUAUUCCGGUAAACAUGAGCAACAAUCGAUCAAAAGAAAAACACAACAAUCAACAAUUAAUGGAAUCGUGCGAAUUCACAUGUACAAGAGUGAAAAAAAAAGCAAAAAUUCCAAACAGAAGGAUAACUCCGAAGAAUCGGGCGCAAAUAUAUCCUCAAGAGUAAGUUCUUUUUAAAUCGUGAU